rnacentral:lncRNA from 1 species
GCCGCACCAAGCUUGGGUUCUGAGGUGUUUUCAUGGGAUGAGGUGCUUUUGCUUUGGGUUAGAGCUUUUUAGUUGUUGCGAAAGAGACCUCUCAAUGCUUUUCGGAUUAUUGUUUAUAAGCGAAUUGAAGACUUAUAAGGAAGCAAAUAGCUGCUUAGAUACAGUGCUGCUUUGAUACUCUCGAGCACGAGCAUUUUUUAUAUUUGAUGAUCUGCGAAUUGUGGUAGUUUAUGUUGCUUCAUGUGGUUUUGAUAGUAUCAUGGAUGGGA